rnacentral:rRNA from 1 species
UUUUUCUCUCCCCUCCCUCUAUUAAAAAUUGGUGGGGGGGGGGGAGAAGACGCCCCCCAAGAGGAAAAAAAUUUUUGGGGGUUUUAAUCUCCUCCCUUUUUAAAAAAAAAAUUUUUUUUUUUGAGCCAUUUUUUUAAAAAAAAUUUUUAAAAAAUUUUUGGGGGGGGUUAAAAGGAGUGGGCCCUGCCUUUUUUUUUUUUUUUUUUUUUUGGGGAGGGGGAAAAAAGUCUCCCCCAAAGCUUUCGAAAAAGAUAGGGGGGCCCUGAAAAGGGGUGGUUCCCCCCCCACUGGGUUUUGAGACCACGGGCCCAAAUUCCUUCCGGGGAGGCACCAGGGAGGGAUUUUGCACAAAUGGAGGGAAAAUUUGGAGGAAGCCAUGCCGGGUGCAGGGAUGGCGGCCCCUUGGGGUUGUAAACUGCUUUUUUUACAAGAAGAAACCCUUGUACGUGUACCAACUUGACGGUAUUGUAAGGAUAAGCACCGGCUAACUCCGUGCCAGCCAGCCGCGGUAAUACGGAGGGUGCAAGCGUUAUCCGGAUUUAUUAGGUUUAAAGGGUUCGCAGGCGGAAUUUUAAGUCAGUGGUGAAAGCCUAUAGCUUCAACUAUAGAACUGCCAUUGAUACUGAAAUUCUUGAGUAUAGAUGAAGUGGGCGGAAUAUGUCAUGUAGCGGUGAAAUGCAUAGAUAUGACAUGGAACACCAAUUGCGAAGGCAGCUCACUAAACUAUUACUGACGCUCAUGAACGAAAGCGUGGGGAGCGAACAGGAUUAGAUACCCUGGUAGUCCACGCCGUAAACUAUGAUCACUAGAUGUUGGCGAUAUAUUGUCAGUGUUUUAGAGAAAUCGUUAAGUGAUCCACCUGGGGAGUACGUUCGCAAGAAUGAAACUCAAAGGAAUUGACGGGGGCCCGCACAAGCGGAGGAGCAUGUGGUUUAAUUCGAUGAUACGCGAGGAACCUUACCAAGACUUAAAUGUAUUUUGCUAGAUUGAGAAAUCAAUUUUUCUUCGGACAAUUUACAAGGUGCUGCAUGGUUGUCGUCAGCUCGUGCCGUGAGGUGUCGGGUUAAGUCCCAUAACGAGCGCAACCCCUAUUUCUAGUUACCAGCGAGUAAUGUCGGGAACUCUAGAGAGACUGCCUGUGUAAACAAUGAGGAAGGUGGGGAUGAUGUCAAAUCAUCACGGCCCUUAUGUCUUGGGCUACACACGUGCUACAAUGGUCACUACAGUGGGCUGCCAUCUGGUGACAGAGAGCAAAUCCAUAAAGGUGAUCCCAGUUCGGAUCGGAGUCUGCAACUCGACUCUGUGAAGUUGGAUUCGCUAGUAAUCGUAUAUCAGCAAUGAUAUCGGAUUUGGCCCCCC